rnacentral:lncRNA from 1 species
CACGCCGUCUGAUCCUAAAUUUGCUGAAUAUCUAAAAAAGUCAAAUACAGAGGAGUGAGCUAACACGCUCAGUAUGUAACUAAACCCAAGCAAAAACACAAAUAACAUAAUAACCAAUAAAAAAUUACAGAGAAUCUCAUCAAACUCACAUGGAAAAAUCCUGCAUGCAUGAUUAUGUCAAUGCAAUACUUUUAGAAAUCAAAAUGCAGAUUUUUCAGAAAACUUCCUACCCAACUCCGUUACACACCAAAUUGGAGUUCCCCAGAACUCGUCCAUUCAAAACGCACGAACAGAUAAAUGUGGACUAUGCCACCAGAGUUGCAGUUAAACUGCCAGAUUAGAUAUAUGUGGUCACACCACUAUAUUGUAGCCAAGCUGCUAGGACAGAUAUGUAUGGUCAAGCCACAAUAAUUGCAAACAAGCUGCUAUACAGGAUUGUGGAUAAUCCACUAGAGAGUGCAGAUCAUUAAACUGCUCGAACUUCCUCCUUACCAUAUUAUCCCAACCUCAUGCAAAGUGUCAUAGAAUGCAAAUAUAGAAUUUGAAUGAAAAGCAUGUAAGACAUGCAAUUGUACAAUAACAGAAAGCAGAAGGCAUGGAAUUCCAUACUUUGCAAAACAAAUGUGUCACAAUUUUAACAAAAGCCAAUUAGUUUUGCCAUAAUGUUACAUGCAUGUUCACAUAAUAAAUUCAAAAAUAUAAAAAUUAACAUAAUCAGACACCAUAUGCUCAUAUACAAACAUGGCAAAAGAGAAACAUGCUAUCAAAAUUAUCAGUAUACAAAUCAUGCAUAUAAAAAUCACAUACCUUUUCUACAUUACUUACAACAUCACACUAAUAGAUAUCAUGUUUACAAGUCCUAUUUAUGCAAUAUGGACCCGAAAGGGCCAAAUACGCAUCACAGAUAAAUAUGUCCCUAAAUGAAAUUUCUAAAAAAUGGGCCCACACGCCCCAAAAGGUCUAACCUGUGUGGCUCACACAACCCAAAUAGCCUAGGUUGUGUGGUCCAGACGGUCUGGAACAUGACUUGGAACACGGCCAUUGUGUUUCACAUAGUUUGCCAUACGGCCUGCCAAAUAGCCUAGACAAUGAGUUUUUCGACUUUUUACCGUUCGCUAUUUUUACGAAAUCGAGUCACACUUGGAUUCUUUCUGAAAAACGUUGAUACGACACACUCCCAAACCCUAAAACCAACAUACCAAACGAUCUAAUAAGCAUCAAAACACCAAAAUUCAAAUAUUAACUAGUCUACUAGCAUAAGACCUUCAACCUUAAAACUAAAACUAGCCCCUUCUAGAUGUUAUGAAAAUUUACCCUUGAAGAGAAAAGAAAUUGCAGAAAUCCUCACUCACCAGAAGAGAAAACCUCUCACGAACCACCCUUAGCAAAAUCACAACUAAUGAAACAAAAAGACCUUCCAAAGAUAUCAAAACAACCACCCUAAAAUGAAACUAACAAAUUAUACUUGAGGAUUUUAAUAACACCAAUGCAGUUUAAAUGAUGGCACAAUAGAAGAUAGGUUGGCAAUGAAGAAACAAUAGCAAGAGAUAACAACAGGGGAAAAUGAUAACAAAUGUAAAAGAAACAAAAGAAUAAUGAAACAGAAAUAAAGAAGAAGAAAAAAAUAACGUCAGAGGAACAGAAAAUAGGACAAAAGAGAUGGAAGUAGUGGAAAGAGAAGAACAUAAAAAAUUGGGGAAAUUGCUAAAAUCAUCACUCUCCAGAAGAGUAAACACCUUACGAACCACCUUUAGCAAAAUCAUAACUAACAAAACCAAAAGACCUUCCAAAGAUACCAAGACAACCACCCUAAAAUGAAACUAACGAAUUAUACUUACCUGAAUAUUUUAAUAACACCAACGCAGUCUAAAUGGCGGCACAACAGAAGAUAGAUCGAUAAUGAAGAAGCAAUAUCAAGAGACGAAAACAGGGGAAUAUGGCAACAAAUGUAAAAGAAACGAAAGCAAAAUGAAAUAAAAAAAAGAAGAAAAAGAAAAUAAAGUUAGAGGAACAGAAAGUUGGAAAAAGAAAUGGAAGUAGUGGAAAAAGAGGAACAUAAAAAAUUUGGGAAAUUGCUAAAACCCUCACUCGCUAGAAAAGUAAACGCCUUACGAACCACCCCUAGAAAAAUCAACACUAAUGAAACCAAAAGUCCUUCCAAAGAUAGCAAAACAACCACCCUAAAAUGAAACUAACGAAUUAUACAUACUUGAAGAUUUUAAAAACACCGAUGCAGUCAAAAUGGCAGCACAACAGAAUAUAGGUCGGCAAUGAAGAAACAGUAGCAAGAGGCGUCAACAGGGGAAUAUGACAACAAAUGUAAAAGAAACAAAAGAAAACAAAGC